rnacentral:rRNA from 1 species
AACGAACGCUGGCGGCGCGCCUAACACAUGCAAGUCGAACGAGAAGGCGUAGCAAUACGCUUGUACAGUGGCGAACGGGUGAGGAACACGUGGGUAACCUACCCUCGAGUGGGGAAUAACCAACCGAAAGGUUGGCUAAUGCCGCGUAAGCUUCCAUCUCUUCGGAGGUGGAAGGAAAGCUGUACCGUGGGUACAGCGCUCAAGGAUGGGCUCACGUCCUAUCAGCUUGUUGGUAGGGAACGGCCUACCAAGGCAACGACGGGUAGCUGGUCUGAGAGGACGAUCAGCCACACUGGCACUGCGACACGGGCCAGACUCCUACGGGAGGCAGCAGUGAGGAAUAUUGCGCAAUGGGCGAAAGCCUGACGCAGCGACGCCGCGUGGGGGAUGAAGGUC